CCCUUAGAUGUCCUGGGCCGCACGCGCGCCACACUGAGUGUCUGAGAUACGAGUCUGCCCGGUCCGGCAAGGUCUAGGUAAUCGCUAAAAGACACAUCAUGCUUGGGAUAGAUUAUUGCAAAUAUUAAUCUUGAACGAGGAAUUCCUAGUAAGCGCAAGUCAACAGCUUGCGUUGAUUACGUCCCUGCCCUUUGUACACACCGCCCGUCGCUACUACUGAUUGGAUGUUUAAGCGAGGUUCUCGAACUGCUAGCGACUUAGCUUCGGUGAGGUCGCAGUGUGGGAAGUGAACCUAGCUUUGGUGUCUAGAGGAAGUAAAAGUCGUAACA
rnacentral:rRNA from 1 species